rnacentral:rRNA from 1 species
UACGGGGGGGCAAGCGUUGUUCGGAAUUACUGGGCGUAAAGAGCUCGUAGGCGGUUUGUCACGUCUGCUGUGAAAUCCCGAGGCUCAACCUCGGGCCUGCAGUGGGUACGGGCAGACUGGAGUGCGGUAGGGGAGACUGGAAUUCCUGGUGUAGCGGUGAAAUGCGCAGAUAUCAGGAGGAACACCGAUGGCGAAGGCGGCUUUCUGGUCUGUAACUGACGCUGAGGCGCGAAAGCGUGGGGAGCAAACAGG